rnacentral:rRNA from 1 species
GACGAACGCUGGCGGCGUGCUUAACACAUGCAAGUCGAACGAAGUGGCGAACGGGUGAGUAACGCGUAAUUAACCUGCCCUUCAGAGGGGGACAACAGUUGGAAACGACUGCUAAUACCGCAUACUGAAGGAGGGGUUUGCGUCUGAUUAGCUAGGUGGAGGGGUAACGGCCCACCAAGGCGAUGAUCAGUAGCCGGUCUUAGAGGAUGAACGGCCACAUGUGGAAUGAGACACGGCCCAGACUCCUACGGGAGGGAGCAGUGGGGAAUCUGCCGAAAUGGAGGAAAGGCUGACGGAGCAACGGCGGGGGAGUGAUGACGGCCUUCGGGUUGGAAAGCUCUGUUAAUCGGGACGCGGUACCGGAAUAGAAAGCCACGGCUAACUACGUGCCAGCAGCCGCGGUAAUUC